rnacentral:ncRNA from 1 species
CAGAAGAUGAAGGGAGACCUUCACGUACGGUUCUGUGAGAAGUUUAAGAUGAGAUUCGUCUUACUUACUUGAC